rnacentral:tRNA from 1 species
UCCCUGGUGGCUCAGAUGGUAAAGAAUCUGCCUGCAACGCAGGAGACCUGGGUUCAACUCCUGGGUUGGGAA